rnacentral:rRNA from 1 species
GAUUUAACGCUGGCGGCAUGCCUAAUACAUGCAAAUCGAACGAUCUUCUUUGAAGAGAGUGGUGAACGGGUGAGUAAUAUAUGUCUAACCUACCCUAACGUGGGGGAUAACUACCUGAAAAGGUAGCUAAUACCGCAUAGGAUAUUGGAUGGUAUCUUCUAAUAUUUAAAGGUGCGUUUGCACCGCGAUAGGAUGGGGACAUACGACAUUAGCUAGUUGGUGAGGUAAGAGCUCACCAAGGCGACGAUGUCUAGCCGGGUUGAGAGACCGACCGGCCACAAGGGGACUGAGACACGGCCCCUACUCCUACGGGAGGCUGCAGUAGGGAAUUUUCCACAAUGGGCGAAAGCCUGAUGGAGCAAUGCCGCGUGAGGGAUGACACAUUUCGGUGCGUAAACCUCUGUUGUUAGGGAAGAACAACUAAGAUAGGAAAUGAUCUUAGCUUGACGGUACCUUUCCAGAAAGUCACGGCAAACUAUGUGCCAGUAGCCGCGGUAAUACAUAGGUGGCAAGCGUUAUCCGGAUUUAUUGGGCGUAAAGAGUGCACAGGUGGUCAAGUAAGUCAGAUGUUAAAUACUGGGGCUCAACCCCAGCCUGCAUUUGAAACUGCUAGACUAGAAUAUCGGUGGGAGUAGUGGAAUUCCAUGUGUAGCGGUGGAAUGCAUAAAUAUAUGGAGGAACACCAGUGGCGAAGGCGGCUACUUGAACGAUUAUUGACACUUAAGCACGAAAGCGUGGGGAGCAAAUAGGAUUAGAUACCCUAGUAGUCCACGCCGUAAACGAUCUUGACUAGCUGUUGGUUUAACCAGUGGCGCAGCUAACGCAUUAAGUCAAGCGCCUGGGGAGUACGUGCGCAAGCAUAAAACUCAAAGGAAUUGACGGGGACCCGCACAAGCGGUGGAGCAUGUGGAUUAAUUCGAAGAUACGCGAAGAACCUUACCUGCGUUUGACAUACUUGGCGAAGCUAUAGAGAUAUAGUGGAGGUUAACCGAUGUACAGGUGGUGCAUGGUUGUCGUCAGCUCGUGUCGUGAGAUGUUCGGUUAAGUCCGGCAACGAGCGCAACCCCUGUCUUAUGUUGCUAACAUUUAGUUGAGGACUCAUGAGAGACUGCCUGGGUAACCAGGAGGAAGGUGGGGAUGACGUCAAAUCAUCAUGCCCCUUAUAUGCAGGGCUUCACACGUGCUACAAUGGGGAUUACAAAGAGUCGCGAUACCGCGAGGUGGAGCUAAUCUCAAAAAAAUCCUCUCAGUCCGGAUUGGAGUCUGCAACUCGACUCCAUGAAGUUGGAAUCGCUAGUAAUCGUGAAUCAGCAAUGUCACGGUGAAUACGUUCUCGGGUCUUGUACACACCGCCCGUCAAACUACGGAAGUCGGCAAUGCCUAAAACCAGUGUCCUAACCUUUUGGAGGGAGCUGUCUAGGGUAGGGUUGAUGACUGGAGUU